rfam:Stegodyphus mimosarum contig84721, whole genome shotgun sequence.
GCCUUCGUGGUGUAACAGUAGCACACUCGACGCGUAAUCGAGAGGUCCAGGUUCGAAUCCCGGCUAGGGCA